CCACCACGCCAGGCUAAUUUUUUGUAUUUUUUUAGUAGAGACGGGGUUUCACCGUGUUAGCCAGGAUGGUCUCGAUCUCCUGACCUCAUGAUCCACCUGGCCUCAGCCUCCCAAAGUGCUGGGAUUACCAGCGUGAGCCACCACGCCCAGCCAAAAUUUUUUUUUAAUGAGCUGAUGUGGUGGCAGACGCCUGUAGUUUCAGGUACUGGGGAGGCUGAGGCAGGAGGAUCCCUUGAGCCCAGGAGGCAGAGGUUGCAGUGAGCCGUGACUGUGCCACUGCACUCCAGCAUGGGUGACAGUGAGAGCCUGUCUGAAAUUAAAAACCAAAAAAAAGUAGAAGAAAAGACCAUUCAUAUUUGAUGGGUACAAAAGAAUGAGGCUGCAUUGUGAUCCCCCAAAAUUCAUAUGUUACAGUCUUAGCCCCCAGCACCUUACAAUGGGGCCUUAUGAUGAAAUAGCUCGGCCGGGCGCGGUGGCUCACGCCUGUAAUCCCAGCACUUUGGAGGGCCGAGGCAGGCAGAUCACAAGGUCAGGAGAUGGAAACCACAGUGAAACCCCCAUCUUUACUAAAAAUACAAAAAAUUAGCCGGGCACGGUGGCAGGCGCCUGAGGUCCCAGCUACUCAGGAGGCUGAGGCAGGAGAAUGGCGUGAACCCGGGAGGCGGAGCUUGCAGUGAGCCGAGGUUGCGCCACUGCACUCCAGCCUGGGCGACAGAGGGAGACUCCGUCAAAAAAAAAAAAAAAGGUAGAAGAAAAGACCAUUCAUAUUUGAUGGGUACAAAAGAAUGAGGCUGCAUUGUGAUCCCCCAAAAUUCAUGUUACCGUCUUAGCCCCCAGCACGUUACAAUGGGGCCUUAUGAUGAAAUAGCUCUUCAUGGCAGAUGUCAUUAAGAUGUAGAUUGAGACGAUGUCAUUUUGGAUCAGGGUGAACCCUAAAUGCAAUGACCAAUGUCCGUAUAAGAAGAGGAGACAUGGCCGGGCGCAGUGGCUCACGCCUGUAAUCCCAGCACUUUGGGAGGCUGAGGCGGGUAGAUCACCUGAGGUCAGGAGUUCAAGGUCAGCCUGACCAACAAGGUGAAAUCCCGUCUUUACUAAAAAUACAAAAAUUAGCCAGGCGUGGUGGCAGGCGCCUGUAAUCCCAGCUACUCGGCAGGCUGAGACAGGAGAAUCGCUUGAACCUGGGAGGCGGAGGUUGCAGUGAGCUGAGAUCACGCGACUGUACUCCAGCCUGGGUGAUGGAGCGAGACUGCAUCUCCAAAAAAAAAAAAAAAAAAAAAAAGGAGGAAACACAGAUGCAGAAUAGAAGGCCAUGUGGAGAGAGGCAGAGAAUGGAGUGAUAUGGCCACAAGCCCAGGGACCCCUGGAGUCCUCAGGAGCUGAGAGAGGCAGGAAGGAUCCUCAUUAGUCCGUGAAAAUGGACUAAUACAGGAGGACAGACAGAGAUAGAAACAGACAGAGAGAGACAGAGAUACAAAGAGAGAGAGGGGAGACAGAGAGAGGGAAAGAGAAAAACAGAAAAACAGAAACAGAGACAAAGAGACAGAGUGGGUGGUGGACAGAGAGAGACAGAAACAGACAGGGAGAGACAGAUACAAAGAGACAGAGGGGAGACAGAGAGAGGGAAAGAGAAAAACAGAAAAGCAAACAGACAUAGACAGAGAGUGGGUGAUGGACAGGGAGACAGAGAUACAAAGAGAGAGAGAGGAGACGGAAAAAAAAAGAGAGACACAGAGACAGUGGGUGAUGGACAGAGAGACAGAUAGAAACGGAGAAACAGAGAGACAGAUACAAAGAGACAGAGGGAAAAACAGACAGAAAAACAAACAGAGUGGGUGAUGGACAGAGAGACAGAGAUACAAAGAGACACAGAGGGGAGACAGAGAGAGGGAAAGAGAAAAACAGAAACAGAGAGACAAAGAGACAGAGAGAGUGAGUGAUGUAGUUUGGCUGUGUCCUCACCCAAAUCUCAUCUUGAAUUGUAGCCCUUAUAACUCCCAUGUGUUGUGAGAGGGACUGGGUAGGAUAUAACUGAAUCAUGGAGGCAGUUUCCCCCACACUGUUCUCGGGGUACUGAGUUAGUCUCACAAGAUCUGAUGGUUUAAUAAGGGAAACCCUUUCUCUUGGCUCCCUCAUUUGUGUGUGUGUGUGUGUGUGAGACGGAGUCUCCCUCUGUCACCCAGGCUAGAAUGCAGUGGCACGAUCUCAGCUCACUGCAACCUCUGCCUCCUGGGUUCAAGCGAUUCUCCUGCCUCUGCCUCCCGAGUAGCUGGGAUUACAGGUGCCCACCACCACGUCCGGGUAAUUUGUAUUUUUAGUAGAGCUGGGUUUCACCAUGUUGGCCAGGCUGGUCUUGAACUCCUGACCUCGUGGUCCGCCCACCUCGUCCUCCCAAGGUGCUGUGAUUACAGGCGUGAGCCACCGCGCCCGGCGGCUGUCUCAUUCUGUCUUGACUGCUGACGUGUAAGACAUGCCUCUGCUCCUCCUUCACCUUCUGCCGUGAUCGUGAGGCCUCCCCAGCCACGUGGAACUAUUACUUCUCCUACGCAUUUGGAGAAGGGGAGAGAAAAACGCCCUUCCAGGAAGGAAGAGGGAACAGAGAAACUCCACAGGCAGAGACACAGGACUGAGCCGUGUUGGGGGCGCUGGGAGGAGUGAGCCUUGGGGUUGCAUCCUCAGAGCCCCACUGUCCCGGGAGCAGCCUUCAGAACCACCCUUUUGUUCACUGAAGUACCAGGCAUUCAGCUUUUCCGAAGACUGGCAGCUGCACGUCUUUGUCCCUGCCCCCUCCAUCUCGGCUCAGCCCCACUGGGCAGCCUGGCCCACCCCCAACCCCUGCCCAGGGCCAACCCCUACUUCCCAUGCCCCCUCUGCCCACCUGCAGCCCACUGGAGCCUUGGAGGCCCUCUCUGCGUCAUUCAGGAUGGGUUCCCCCCCCCCCAGACUCCUACACUUUAACCUGUACACAUCCUGCUGGAGCUUCCACUUCCUGACCCCUGCCUGGCUUCUCACCUCCCCUGCCUCAGCCCCCCAGGGGAUGUCCCGCCUCUCCCAGUGGCCCAGGACAUCCUCCACUUCCCAGGAACCCCAGGCACUUCCACAUCCUCAGGUGUGACUUGACUACCAGCCCAGCCCUGUGUCUCCAGCUGUGUCUGCGUCUCCCCUGGGCCCCUGGAAGGAAGUCCAGCCCUGGACCCCUCCUCCUACCCUCCUGUUCUUUCUCCCCUCCCCUGCUCUCUUCCCGCUUCCCUCACCUCCUCCCCCUCCACUCCUCCUGUUCCUCUCCUUUUUCUACCCCUCCUCCCCAUUCUCCUUGUCAUCCUCCUCCUUCCCUCUCCUUUCUCCUCCUCCUUCUCCUCCUCUCCUCCUUUUUCCUCCCCCUCCUGCUCCCCUUCCUCCAUCCUCUCCCCUCCUUCUCCCUCCUCUUUUCUCCUCCCCCUCCACCCUCCUCCCCCUCCACCCUCCUCCCCCUCCUGUUCUUCCCUCUCCUCCUCCUCCUCUUUCUCCUCCUCUCCUCCCGCUCCUUCUUCCUUCUGCCCCUCCUCCUCCUCCUCCCUCGCCCUCCUGCUCUCCUUCCUCCACACUCUCCCCUCCUUCUCCCUCCUCCUCUCCCCUCCUCCCCCUCCACCCUCCUCCCUGUCCUUUCUCCUCCUCCUCCCCCUCCUUCUCCCUCCCCACCUCACCACCCUUCUACCCCACCUUCUCUAUCCUCCCCUUCCUCCUCACCUCCUCUUCCUCCCCCUCCUCCUCUCCAUUCUCCUCCCUCCUUCUCCCUCUUCUUCCUUUCUCCUCCACCCUCUCCUCCUCCUCCUUCUUCCUCUUCUUUCUUCUCCUCCUCCUUCCCUCCCCAUCUCCACCUCCUCCCCCCCAUCUCCACCUCCUCCCCCUCCUCUUUCUCCGUUUUCUUCUCUUCCUCCUCUUCCUCCCCUCCCCAUCUCCACCUCCUCCCCUCCUUCUCUUUUUCUUCUUUUCCUCCUUCUCCUCCUCCUCCCCCUGCUCGUGUUCUUCCUCUACUCCCUUCUCUUCUCCUUGUCCUUCUCCUCCUCUUCCUCAUUUCCCUCUCCUCUUCUGAAGCAUCCCAGCAUCCUGCCCGUGGGGUCAGGGCACGUCAGCUCUGGGCAUAUUGACAUUCUCACCACCUGGGAGGUUCCCUGGAGCUCAGACACAGUGAGAAGAUGACCCUCUCUCCAAGCCAGGAAGAGACCUCCCGAGGAGCCCAGCCAGCCAGCACCCUGACCUCCAACGUCCAGCCUCUGGAAAUGGAAUACUGAAGGCUGCGCUCCUGCCCCUCACCAGGAUGUGGGAACUUUGAGAACCGCUGGAGAGUCGAGAGAUGUCAUCGAAACGACACCCAAUACGUGUUCCCCGAGCAUCCACUUUGUAGUGAAGACACUCGUACUGUUGAUGCCUGCUGCGGUAAACGGAGACAGGGCAUGGCGAUCAGCGUGAGCCAAAGGAGGACCAUCGGAAACGCAGCUCCAGAGCACAGGACAGAGGUGCCCGCUGGAGGAGAAACGAGAGUCAGGCAGCGGGGACUGGCUGUGAAACUGGGUUGCGGGUAAUGAAGGAUGUUUGACCCUUCUGGAGCCUGGUGCUCACAGCAGAAGGAGCUGCUUCUGGAGGGAAAGUGGUGAUGGGGGUAUGAGGGCUGUCUCUACCUCUUGGCUACUGUGAAUAAAGCUGCUAGGAGGGACCUGAGGUUUCACCAGCCAUCGGGGGCAUUCUGAGUCCCACCAGCCUUUGAAAACCACUGAGAAACACUACAAGCAUGCUGGGGUCCCAGCCCCAAAAGCAGCUCCCCGGCUGACAGCCUGCCCUGGGCAUGAGCUCCUUGACUAGCUGAACCAGCGCUUUCUAAUAAACAGAGAACUGUA